GUAGCUUUGUGGUGAUGGCAUUGACAUAGAGGGGGAGAUUGCUGGAGAUCCAGUCCUUACACAGUGAGGCUGGAAAAGAGCCAGUUGUUGGAUAAAAUGCAGGAAACAGAACAGGCUGAGAGACAUUCAGGAUAUGAAUUUGUACCUCAGCACGGGCAUACCUGUGAUAGGAAUGGUGAAGACUUCAGAUUCUCCAUCUAGUUCUGGUCAGGUCUGUCUUGGAGAACUCAUCCCCAUAGAAGCAAGAGGGAGGCUGUUCCAGUAACUCUUGUGGGAGGUCUAGCUGGGAAGCCAUCAUUGGCAGCACCGCACUCCCCCUGUUCCCAGACAGGAUUUCAGCCCAUUACAAGGACUAGCUCAGCUCCUGCCUCUGGUGCUUUGGUCUGCUAGAAAACUCAGACAUCAAUAAGGCAGUUAAGUUUGUAUAUUGAAUCAUGCAAAGUAUGGAUUAUGCAAAACAGCCCAGCUGUAAUUUCGAGUGAAAGGAGAGACAGGUCAACACUUUGCAGGACUUUACAGGACAGAACUCUAAGCACUGCAAGAGAUCCUGACACCAGUGAAUGAGUCCAUGCAGCAGAUCAUAAACACAUCACCAAGUCAUGAUAUUGGAACAUCACUUCCUGCCGAUACCUAAAUAUUAAUGUCUAGCUGCGUCGCUUUGACCUCUCUGUGAGGCCUGGGUAAAUCCUGAAGAUGCUGGGCCACAAUUCUUAAGAAGGAAACUUCAAGUUCUUUCCGCUUCACUUCCCCUUCACAUGUCUGAGGCAGUUAGCGUUGCUGCCCCAUAGUCUGCGUGGCAGGAGCUGUGUGCUAGCUGUGGCACCCAUUGUCUGCAUUUUUCCUCUCGUUAGUCUCCUUGACCUUUCAUUGUCUUACUCCUGCAGUGUCAGGUCAGACUUAGUGUAGGUCUCCCUUCACUAAGGACCCCUUUCCUUUCGUGGAUCACUAAGCAGGACAAUUGCUCUAUCCAUCUUUUCAGGGUCUAUUGUCGAGCCCCCCCUGAGCUGAGAAAGGUUUGAUUCACUGGGAAACCAUUUUGGUCAAAGGGAAGCCUGACUAUGUGUCCUUUUAGGAACUCUGUCUUAAUCACUGACUUUUUUAUCUGGGAUAUGAAGAGGAUUCAGGAGAUCAAAAGGUUUGGGAGUACAUGGGUUUGACCACAUUUUUCCUGGAAAUAAUGGGAAACCUCCACUGAAAAAUGAGCUCCGUUACAAUGGGCAAACAAGAAGGAAAGCCACAUAGUGUUCCCAGAGCAUUCUGAAUCAUCGGACCUUCAAUAGCUUCCAUAAAGAAGGGAAAAAGUAAACAGAAAAAGUAAAUGGAAUGUAAUAAUUAAUGGACCUGAAGAAUAAGACUCAUUUUAUUUGCGCAUAAUCGGUGCUUUUGAAAAAAAGAUAAGUCAAAAGGAAUUGACAGAGCAGAUGGAGAAGACUUCUUGAUGACUGGAAGUUCAGUUGGGCUGAGCAUGUAGCAGACACACAUGUAGUUACUCAGAAUUAGUAGCUUGUGUCACCUUGACAAGUGACUGUACACUCAGUGGUUCCAUAUUCUUCCUAGGACCAUGAUGUGGAGGCCUUGUUGAAGCACCACAGUGGAACUAUGCUGGGUUUGAAGGCACUACCUUUGUCACUAGGUGUUACAUGUUCAGCCACAUACAUGCCAAUGCCUUGAAAAUUUCAUCUUGUGAGGGACAGACAUCCAGACAUCUACUUUUUCUAGGCAUUAUUUGUGCCUUUCCUGGCUAUGGAAUGCACCCCAGUAUUAGCAAGUUUAUAUUUAAACUUCAAUAUUUGCUCACAUAUUUUCCUGAGUCAAAUAAAAAGUGCCAGCUGGAUGUUAUGAGUGCCUUUGUACUGGCCUUUGGAUGAGGAGCUGCAGCAGGCUUCAAACAAGGUCAAACUUACAGGUUAUACCUUUAUUCCCCAGCAAGAAAGGGGGGAAAUAAGCCUUUAAAAUACAAAACAAAACAAAACAGAAACCUAGAAAACUCAUCUUAAAAGAAAAAUUCUCACCAGGUAUGAAGACUAUAAAGUGAUACCAUACCAGACCACACGUCUGAAAUGUUUCGAGGAGAGAUGAGUGUAGAACUGGAUGAGAUGCGAAGCAUUCCUAUUUUCUAUACUGAAAUUUCUGAACCUGAUGUUUCUUCAUUGGAAAACAGACAUAACCCUUUGGAUGUUUACAUUAAGUAUGCUUAGAACAAUUUGUUUUUUGUUGUUGUUGUUUUGUUUUGUUUACUGGUGUAUCUGUAUACAGUAACUUUCAUGCCAUCUUAAUGUGCUCCUGCCAUUUAACUUCACACUGUCAGCUGAUCUCUUAAUGUCAGCAGUGCAACUUUCUGUCAACACUACUAAGUAGAGGUGUCCAGGAUAUUAAAUAUGCUUGAAUUUAUAUACAUGAGGAAGGGAAAAAGUGAUUCAAGCUCUUCCUGAACUGCAGAAAGACCUGAAUUGUGCUUUGGUGGAACUGCUCCAGAACAAAAACUUCUGCUCCAGAAGAGUAUUUAGUUCUGAUUCUUAGUAGCACUAAAUAUCUUUUUUUUUUUUUUUUCUAUUAACAAGUGCCAAACACAUGAGGAGAAAAUAUGAGCUGGUAGAAUUAGUAUAGCUGCAGUUUUACACUUCCCAAAGGUAGGAGAAUGCUCUAGGAUACAUUUCAGAUACAUGAGGGAAGGCCUUCAUAUAACGGAAAUGCAGUCUCGUGACAUUAAACUGUUUUGGAAAACGGUUGCAUUUUAUGUAAUGUUCAACCCUGAUAAAGAGAAUUUUGCUGAAUAUUUCUAAGCACUAUCUAUCACAAAUUAAGAGUAUGUGGAAAAGCCACCAAUUUCACCUGUGUAGUGGAAAUGCUAAGUCACAGCCUGAAGCAGUGAUUGAGCACCUGGUGGGAAGGCAGGGCCAACCCAGGGGAGCUCAGGUGCACACAAUGCCCCUUCCCAGACCUCAUUUAAGGGUUGGCAGUGGAGGCAAUGCUAUUUUGCUAGAGAUGCCUGUGGCCUUCUAAGGGUGAGUAGAGUCUUUCUGUUUUCUUUCUGCAUUCAUAGUCGCUGCAUUUGAGCAUAUCCUUACUAGUUGCAGUCUAGGACUUUGCUACUAUACAGUCAUUGCAGUGCGUUGUGUUAGAACCUGGUAUUCCAUUAUGCAAGUUACUUAUUUUCUAUGUGUUUUUGAUGACUUUAUGAUGGGAACCUAACCCUUUAACUGCACUGUGCCUCAUGUGGCUAAAAAUGUUACAUCAAAAUGUACUUAAUGAGUAAGAGAGAUAAAUGUUUUCAUUAACUUCAAUGGCUAACAUUAAGGCUAUUGAUAGAAAACAUCCUACAUGAAGAAAGCUUCUAUCUGUUACUAAAGUUACUCCUUUAACCUACCCAUCAGCAGGGCGUUGUAGGCAAAGGCUUUCUAAUGCAGUUUUGUCAAAACCAGCUAGGUUAUUUCAAUCUGAGCAUCUGUUACGUGGCAGCCUUUAAAGAAAUUAUGUUUACCUCAUUUAAAGGUCUUGUAUGUCAUACUGCCUGGAUGUUUUGAGUGAUCUUAUAUUGUUUAGCAUUCCUUGAGUCUCAAAAUGUGUCUUGGGUGGGCUGCUACUCUUCUUCCCUUUGAAAACACCAUGCUGUCCCUAGGUAUCCUCACAAUUCAGCCUUUCUUGAUGAGCUGACUUUAGUAAAAGUGAUUAUGGACCUCAGGAGAAACUAAUUUUCCUGAUUGAGAAUUAGGUCAAGAAUUUAACUUAGCACAGAUAAGUCUCAUGUAACUUGGAAAUCCUGAUACUGCCUGCCUUUUCUGUCAGCAGACUGGUGGGGGCAAGACCUCCAGCAAAGUAAUGAUAAAAGGAGGAAGGUCACCUCCUCUGUUAGCACAUCUGGAUCAGGAAGAAGAUGAUUUACUAUCCUCACUCUAAACUCCUAUUGAAAUGAACAAUCCUUUUCCUCACAAAGGGCUAGUGGCUCUGCUGCAUAUUUAACUGAAAUGGUAGUAUGGUCAGUCACAUAGCUGAAGAUCUAAGAACUAUAAUAUGAUUGAACUAAUUGCUUCCAGAGGGCAAAGAAACAGAAAGAAGCUAUAAAAAGGUAUGCAGUAUUUGAAAAUCAGUAAAUCAGUUUUUUUUUCUUCAAAUAAUACUGCUUGUAGAGCUUUAAAUGCCAGAUGGAACGUAAAUUGUUAACUAUUAUUUCUUGUAAGUGUUCAUGUUUUCUGUCCUCUGUUAAAUCUUAAUCUCCAUAUGUUGGUUCAUGCUAACAGCUUCCACAGUAAAAUGCAGUACAUACAAGUGGGCAAAAUGAUGGUGUGUUCUGAGUAGUUACAGUCAGUUGCUAACUGUUGAUGUUGUAUUCAACCUUGUAACUUUCUAAUAUUGAGAUAAUGAGCAAGUGCAAAACUGUAUUAACUCUUCUUUUGUAGCUGCUUGAUCAGUAAGUAGCUGGUUAAAGGAAAGAUUCCCACUAACUUUAGUGGUCUGUGAAUCAAGCUCUUGAUAUAUAUAGAAGGUCCCUGAAAACAAAGUUUUAUUUUUUAAUGUAUUGUCUCAUUUGUUGAAUAGCAUGGCUUACUGCCCAGUGUUAUGGCAGUUCACAAUGACUAUUCUUCCCACCCAUUCUCCUUCUCCUCCUUCCAUUAAUCAGUGAUGGGUUGAAUUCAAAUGUUUUGGAAGUUCAGCCUGGUUUUGAUGUGAUAGUACAUAAAAAUAUCUACAGAGUAGUUAUUAGGGUGCUUGGUGUGGCUGCAUUUGUCCCGGGGAAACCUCCCCCUUCUUUCUGAGAGCAGCAGCAGAUUUUGUGGGAAGGUUGGCAGCUCUACAAGGUCCUCUUUGAGGCAGGCUCCACUCCCUCUGCCCCAGUGGUACAUCCAUCAUUUUUGGUUUUCCUUUCCAAAAUGCUUUUCACAAAAGUCACUUCCUUGUUUCACAUUACUCCAUGCUCUGUGAAUUCACACUGGAACAUGCUGCGAACCAGAUCCAUAUCUGGUGUAAAUCAGCAUCAUCCUGCUACUCUCAGUGGAAAUACAAAACUUGGUAUCUACGGAGGAUCUUGUCCAUGAACUCUAAGCAGACACUUUUGGUAGAGAGAAAAUGGGUUUGUGUGUUCUGGGGAGAGGUACUGCAAGGGGCAGCAAAUGGAAAAUCCUACCUAAACAUUAAGGAGUUUAUCUUCACUAACCUUUCUAACAUGAUAAUUUUGGAUGAACUUCUGCUCUUUGUACCCUGAUACUGUCCAUUUCCAAGUGCUAGAAAUUGGUGUGGAACAAAAAAAAAGGGUCUGAGCUAUUGAUGCUGUAUAAAGGAGCUCAAUUAGUAUCAUCAUAAAAUAACUUUGUAUAAGCAUAUCCCCUGCACUCUCAUUUCUGUCUAUAACUGUUCAUGCUAAGCACCUAUUUCAAAAGCUGCUCCAAGUUUAUUCAAGGAUGCGUUUAGUCUGAUCUGCAGCAUUUGUCACUUGUUGGCCAAAACUGACAUAAGGGAUUUAAAUGUGCUGCUUCUAACGUGGUGACGCUGCCUUUAAUUUAGCAUAAGUGAUUAUAUAUGUUUGACUGUCAAAUCACUGUAUGUAGCUUUUGUGGUUGGGGGACUUGUUUUAUCAAAGAAUUCUGCUGAACCUCUUCCAAACCAGAACUCUCAUGUGUAUAAUUAUAUUGUAUUUUCAUUAUAUAAACUGUAUUUUUAAGACUGAAAACAUAUGAAAUGAUUAUGGGAACGUGCAUUCUAUACGACACCACCAAGUACUUGUGGGAAGAGAAGCUUAUAACAUAAACCAAAUGUUGUCAUUAGUAUACAGGUACAAGAUGCAUCCUUGUGACCUGUGAAACUCUUAAGGAUGAAAUAGAAGGAUCUGCAAACACACGCAAUUGCACUUCAGGUUGAAUGAAAUUUAUAGCAAACUUUACUUUGCAGUGAAUAAACACCUCAGUGGUACUUAAUGGAAGUAGAUGUCAAAUAUUCACAGCUCGCUGUUGAGCCUGUAGCCAAGUUAGGUGCUUUCAAAAUACCUUUCAAAGGGAUACUUCUGCAAAUGCUUAUUGCUUCUUUAAUGCGUCUAAUAGGUGUAAAUACAAUGCUGUAAGUAUUUUGGUGUUUUAACCCAAUUGUUUUUCUGGGAUUAUGUCUUUAGUUUACUUCAAUUGUAUUGCUGUAACUGGAAUUAGAUCCUCAUAGGGUUCAAGUAGGUGCCACAGAGACCAGCCUUUUGAGACAUCUGCAAUACAGUAUUGAUUAAGGCAGGGACCAAAAUCAUGUCCAAUAGCAAGUCUGGCUAAGGGAUGUGAGCUGCGUCAGUUCUGAGCAAAUCAUCAACACUAUCGUGUCAGCAGAAUGUGCUUAUUCAUAGAUUUAUUAUUAUCGUUAUCCUCUUAAAAGGCUGUCAAGCAUUGUCCUUAUGCUUAAAAACAACAACAACAACAGAACUGAAACAUCAUGUAGAAGUAAGCAGCCUACUGAGAAUAUACCAAUACAUGUGUCCAUAGAGUUCAGUGCUUGAAUUCAAUUCUCCUUUUGCACCCUUACGCUGUUGCCCUAAAUAAUAAGCUGUCUGUUAUUCCUAAUGCCUUUGGUGGCUCCAUAGAGAGUAACCUUGCUAACUUUUUUUCCCCGUCUCAGUAACUUUAGCUUAAUUAACAGUGAUUCUUAAAAAUAAAAAAAUAGACCUCAAAGGGUAGAAGGAAUCCACAGGGUGUUUUGUGAAAGUGAAUCACUGCAUGUUUGUGUGUGUGUGUAUAUACAUACAGAGUUACAUAUGUUCACGCAUGCAGAAAACCAGAGAAAGCAUCUGUCAUCAGAACUAUCUGUGAGUCACCUCAGAUAAAUGCUGUUUCAAGGCAAUCCUAUGCAAUAGAUUAAACAAUGUCUUCAGUUUGUGGCAGAGAGUUUAGGCCCAGUCAUUUACAAGCUAAAAAAUAGGUCAAGGAAUAGUGGUGAUAACUUGCCUUAUCGCCGGGCUGUGUAUGUGAGACCAUUGUCAUCCGUAGCUCCUGAGCAGUGUGCUGAUGUGGGUGCUGAGCCCUCUGCAGAGCUGGCAGCACAGGAGUCACUGAUGUUACAGUGCUGCAAACCUGAGCAGAAAAAUCAGGGCUGGGGUCUUAACAAGAGUUUUUUUUUAUCACAAAUGUUGACAAGGACAACAAAUGCAGAAUACCUGAGUUCAAUGAAAUGUCCUGAGUUGCCAGAGAAACCAUCUGAAGGCAGCUUUGCAGACUCAGUGCAGCAAAUUCCUGCAGCACAUUCCAGAAGUCCCCAGCCUGAGUCACUCUGAGCUCAAUUGCAGAGCUUGGAAGCUGAUGAAUCACUGUUGAGCAGUAUGUAUGUUUUUAUAAUCUUUGCUUUAAGUAAUGUCCAUUCAAGAUCUAAGCUAAUGACCAUUGGAUAAGGGUGCAGAUGGAAUGUGGUUUCCACAUUUGGAAGCCUGCUGUGAUGAAUCUGUUCUUUAAGUGUGUUUAUGUUUGAGGGACUUUGCAUGCGGGCUAUCUCCUCAAUGGCAUGUUAAACUCUGCUCUCCAAGGAGAAGAGUGCAAGAGAGGUAGAAGGGGGAGGAGAAGAAUCCAAAAGAGUGGAAAAAGCUGCAAAAUGCAUUUCUUUAGAAGCACUGAAGUUGAUUUUUUUUUGCAAGGUUUGAAGCGUCCUUCUCAUUCAAGGGAGCUCUGAUAACUCACCACAGAUUAUUACAGUGUUGAGGGGUCCGAACCUGCGGAGGGGGUCACUGUUUUCAGUAUCUUCAUGAUGAAUGCUGUUUGUUUGUAUGCUGUGUUCAAACACUGAAAUGAUUCAAAGCGCUUGCAGAUUUUUGCUGAGAUUCUAAGCUUUAUUAAUUUUACACAGUCUCCUUCCUUCUUUCUUCAUCUCCAUGCACGUGCUUUACUUCAGCACAGCAUUUAGGCACAGCUCCCAUCACAGGCGUACUUCCACUGGAGAUGACUCAUUCACGUGUGGUGUUCUGCAGACCCGCUUCUGCAGCUUCUUACAGUUCAUACAAUCAUUAAGGUUGGAGAAGACCUCUCAGAUCCUCUAGUCCAACCACCCACAUGCCACCAGUAUUGCCCGUUAAACCACGUCUCUAAAAGCAUAGAGAGUUUAGUUCCUAAAGCACGGAGAGACUUGAGCUGGAAACGUAAUGAUUGGUCUGAAGACAACACGGGAUUAGCCUCGGCUUUCCUCCCAAACUAAUGUAAACAAAUUCCCUACUCCCGAAAUAACUCGCGAGAUACCUUUUCCCCCUCCUCGCCCUGAAGUAUUCCUCUGUGCUUCCUGAUUUUUGGCAGGGACGUUUCAGAAAUAGCUAUUACAAUGAUGUUUCCACUCUGAAAGAGGAAGCGCUGGGUGGGAGGAGUUAGGAGAGGAGCAGAGGAAGCAAAGCUGUUUCGUGCCAUCUCGGGCUGAGCUUCCACAGCAGAUAGGUGGGAACGCAUCUGGGUGCUGAGCCACCAGAGCCCACCCUCGCCCGGCACGAGGCCAAACGUGAGCACACAAGGCAUGGCAUGCGUGGCCCCUCGUAUGGCUCGGCACAGCUGAUGCUGACAGCUCGGCACUGCUGAGCAGAGUGAAUGAGGCGAGGUCAGGAGGAAGGCAGCAGCGGGCUCCCCUCCCUGCGUUGUACAUGAAAGGUGCUGCCGGGACGGCUCGCCAGUGCGGCUUUGUGUGCAGCAGUCAUGCUGGAGAAGCUGCUCUGUCACAUGUUUGUCAGCCAGCCAAGAUUUUAAUUCUGAACUUUUCCAUGAAACCAAUAGCUAUAUUCUCUGGCUCUGGCCCGCUCUAGUGCUUGGCCAGGGCUAUGGGAAUGAAAUGUCAAAGCAGCCUGUCUAUGAAUUGAGAUUGCUUUCAUGCGUCUCCACCUGCUGGCUGGCAUUUCACUAAUUGCAGUAGCCUGUAGGGAUGACAGUGGACUUUUUGAAGCGAAGGGCUCACGUGGGAAGCGUAACUCAGCUCUAUGAGGAGACAAACAAAUGAGUGUGAUCAAAGAGAUCAUUUCUAACUUGACAAAGAGUGCUGUCCUGCAUCACAGGUAGAAGGCCACUGAGGUUUUCAAGCCAUGCUUUUGAGCUUCUGAAGCCUCAGCUGAAAGAUAAGCACUAAGAAGGAUUUUUUUUGGAAGGAAUUCGCCAAGUGUGGAGACAUUAACAUAUUAUUUCACGACUAAAACCAGAUGCUGAGGAUGCUAAUGUGCUCUCAUUGACACAGUGAAAGAGGGAAAUAUUUAUUAAUAUCUGGAAGCAUGAGCAUUCUGGGGCCCGCAGCCUAGUUUCUGUGUGGUUAGGAAAGCAGUUACUUAGCAAAUGUGGGCAGGCAGCUGUUUUGAAUGGAAAGGAAUAGAAAUGAUUAAUGACUUUUAUGCUUUAAAGAAAUGAACCCACAGGAUUUCUUUCUUCUACUGUGCUGUCCCACUUGGCCAUUUCUGUCAUGUGCUCUGGGACUUUCUUUGGAAGUUUUCAAUGGUCUGUCUUGAACUACUCUUUAGAAACUUACUGGACCAGAUCUGGAGCCAGACAGAUGCCAGCUGUGGAUCUGAUCCAUUUGCACGUACAUUCACAGGCUCAGAGCACAGAUUACCAACACUUGAUAUUCCAUGAACUUUGCACCACGCCCGCAAUAGAAUAUCUUGCUCUCAGAUACUGCAGUGAUGGGUGCAGUAUUAAAUCCUAUGUAGAGAAGAAUUUUCCCUUUUUCUUAGCUGCAUUUUGUUUGGGCUAUAUUUUACAAUGUGGAAGGCAAGAGGCGUUCUCAGGAACUGAAACAAUGCAGGGCAUAAACCCUUUCUUUGAUAAUGUCUGAUGUCAAUACUGAUUAUUGAUGUUUUACCAUCUUCUAUACUCAUGGGUUGUUUCAUUCUGCCAAACUGCUCUGUCAUCUGUUUCUUGUGUAUGUGUUCAUUUAGCUCCUUAGGUCUUGCAUGUGCGGCAACAGAAGGUGGGAGGUAGAAAAGGUUAAAAAGAAGAUGAGGAAGAGAAAGAGGAACGUGGAGAAAAAGAAAAAGGAAGGCUGUACAAAACACUGAUAUUUUCACUGAAUUGCUCACAGUGAAUCAUUCAGCCAGUGUUGCUGAAGCAGUACUUACUGGGGACGAUCCCAUUGUCCUGGGAGUUGACUUUAUGGAAUUAUUUCCAGUAUACUUCUGUUCUGUGCGUGAUUUGAUCCGCUGAAGGUUCCGUUCCCCUAUUUUUGGAUUAUGUGUUCAGAGUGCCAAAGUGUGAAAUAGGAAUGAUUUUUAUUCCAAAGUAUUCCUCCACUUCAAAAGUGUUGUUCCAUAUUACUAAGCAUUGGGAACAGGAUUUUAACUAUAGAAAGCGGUGAAGGUGCCCAUUACAUAUCUGUAUAAUUAAGCACCAUCAAGCAUAUUUAUUCCAUAGCUAGACAAGUAACAUUGGAUAUAUUUGGUUAUUGUUAGCACUACACAUCUGACUGAAUUAGCUAGCUGUGUGAACUCCAUGUAUCAUGUAAUUUAGAAGGUGUAUGAGUUUAAUACAUCCUGAAUGCGUCUAAUACCUUGGCUAAACACAGGCACCGAGCUAGAAAGAGUUCUCGUAGAUCACUUUAAGACACAGCAGGACUGGAAGAUGAUAUUUCCUUGUCUGCAAGUAUAUCACUCUCAAGCCAUCGUUUCAACACAGGAAGUUAUCUGCUACCUGGGGUAACAAUGUGCGCUUGAGCACAAUUGGUCUGCUGUCUGAUGACAUUUAAGAAUUAGCCACAUAAGGAUUUCUUACAACACUGUCAAAGUAGUUCAACUGAUCAUUUUAACUGAGCUUAUUUAAAAUUCCUGAAUAUACUGGUGCAAAAUGAAAGUAACUUUUGCACACUUGCACUGCACGCUUCACUUACAUCAGUUAUUUCCAGUCUAGGAGUGAAGACUCAAAUGAGUAGUGCUUCUCUUUCUGUGUGUGUCUCUCUAGAUGCUUGCCAGGUGGACAGCUGAAUUAGCACUGGUGCCAUUCAAAUCUUCUAACACAAGGAUGAGCUUUAUACGUGUUGGUACACAAAAUCCCACAUAGAGUGGGAUUCAGACCUAUGUUCAGUCCACUUCACUGAAAGCAGCAGCUGGUCCAAUAGCCUGAAUCUUCUUUCAGGGGCUAUUUUGGAGAUUGCUAUCACUCAGGCAGGAAGUAUGAUUGUGUAUAUGAGUGUGCAUUUCUGUGCUGCUGAACAUGUGAGGAACGGACCUAUUUUCUCAAGUUGAUUCUUACUCUUCUUUUUUUUUUUAACUGCAAAAUACUUCCUGAAAACCUCUCCCUGGUAACCUUGGAGGGUACAGCAACAAGCAUGGUGGUUUUAUUCCUACCUGGACCAUCUAGUUGAUGUGCUUAUGGAUGAGUUUUGUCCUCUCUUGUUUUUCUGACCUUUUUUAGUUUUCAGACCUGUGCAUCACUGAAGUAUUCAUCAUCAUCUACUCUUGUUUGACACUGUCUCAAUUAACACAACCUUUGGCUGUCAUAUCAGAAUGUCUUUAAAGUGUCCCCAGUGAAAGGUCUCCUUGUAGUGCAGUAUUUCUGCAUGAAGAGGGGUGUGUGUGUGUGUGUGUGUGUGUGUGUGUGUGUGUAAAAAAAGCUAUGAACUUCAUAUGGUUUUCCAAAGUGUGUUGCUGCUAAGCAGUAUGUGAGGCAGGUGAGGAGUCCUUUGUAUCGUUUGCAAAUAAGUCACAUACCAGUUGGUGUUCUUGGGCCUUAUGAUUGCACUCCAAAUGAAGAAACACUGAUUAUGAAUGUUUCCCUACAAAUACCCUUAUUAGCGUUUUUGUUUUGGCAAGGGAAUUAUUACCUGCAAAUCCUUUGCCAGUCUCUGGGUAUAAUAAUGAAUAAUUGUGAUGGAAAAUAAGUCAGUGGGAAAUAGAUUAUCUGAGAGGCAAGUGUCUGGUGAGCUGUGCAUUACUCUGAUAGGGAUUGUCUAAUUGUACGAAAGACUAUGAAAAUGGAGCAGAAAAGUGGGCAAUCUAGGUAGAAAAAGACAGCAUGAAGUCGUCUCACAGGUAGUGUGCUGUUUGUGAUAUUAAUGUAAAUGAUGCCUGACAAGACAGCCAGCGGUGUGCAUCUCUGCAGAAUGACUGGAAGGCCAGUUUAGGCAGAUGGCUUUGAGGUGACUCCUUGCAGUGAAACCUCAUCUAGGGCAGGACUGGUCCCUGUCUCACAUGGGCAGCCAAGGAGCAGAAGGAGGCAAGCCACCUUUUGCAGGUUCUGGCUCAGAGCAUUCUCUCUCUGCGUUCUGCAAGCUGGGGCUUGCAAGCAGCGGGGCGGAAGCAAGCUGUACUCUAGCAGCACAAAUAUUGAAGUAACUUACUUCCCCGGCUGGAGCAAGGAGGAACCGUGGAAGGAAUUGCAGCUCUCUGAGUCACACUUCCUCCUUGGAGUUUCUCUUGGAGUAGCGCAGUUCUGCACCAUGCUGGAGGCUGACACUAGAGCUAUGCUUGGUCCAUCCUCUCACCCCCAAAGUGACAGGGAGAAAGAACGAGAGGAAGGAGAAAGACAGUGAGGCACUGGAUUAUCAUACCCUCAGAUCUCCCGAUUGCAGCUCUAAAUAUAGCCAAACAAGUAAAAAUCUGCUUUUGGAAGUGGUACAACUAUGUGGCUCCCAACCCUUCAAACAACAUGCAUGCAGAAGGCAGCCAGUCCCCUCCCGACCAAGAUGCUGGAUGGGGAACCAUGCUAAGCACAUUCUGAUCUCCAGCCAGAAAGUGAAAAAUUCCCAACUGCCACACCUACCAGGGUGUGACCAGAGACUAUCAACUAGUUUAUAUUUGCACUUUGAUACACAGCACAGGCUUAACAUCGUACGGUGUAUCCCUGGAAAAAAAUAGCAACAAGUUUCAACACAGAAAUUCUGUUAGAUUGGGAGGCCAGAAUAAAUAAAAGCCGACGAGUUGUAGAAUGACUCGAGGUAGAGUAAAAGAUCUCAUCUCAAAAAUAACACCAAGGCAGUGUGCUGCAGAUGAAACACAUAAUGAAAAAACAUUCCAAACUUCUCAUUUGAGAAAAGAUUACAAAUAAAAUAGGCUUGGGCAUGCCAAGUGUAAAAUCUUUGAUAUGGAAAUGCAGUAAUGGUUAAACGAAAUGGGCUGAAAAUCUAUUUAUCAACAGCCUGUAAUGCCUUGUUGGAUCGUCCCAUGAGAAAAGCAAAUAAGGAGUAGUAGGAGAACAUACAGACACUGUUAAAAGGUUUACAUACCUCCCGCCUUCAUACCUUGAGACAUAGUCCUUCACCUUAACUGGAGAUAUCUAAAGGUUUAAAUGCUGGUAUGAGAGCAGGGUUUGAGAUGCACGGCCUGAGACCCAGCUUUUCAGAAGGGCCCAAAUGUUUCUGGCUUGAGGUGUCUGAAAGGAACCUGCUCUCUAGAGGGUGACAGGGGGUGAAGGCACCAGCACACCGGGGGGCACCUGGGGUGACACCCUUGGGCAGGGGCAUCUCUGCCAUCCUCACCAAGGCUGCUGCAGAUGAAGAGCUGGGCCACAGCACUGCACUGCUGGCUGAAAGCGGCACCGCGCCGUUCGUCUGCCUCACUUCUCUCUUCAUUCACAGUUUUCUUUUGCCAGUGGGCAGUAAGUCAUUACCGAGCCCUACAUGUGAAUCACGAGUGCCGUGGAAAUUAAACUCCUUGACCUGCUCACGUUUUUCCCUUUGAUGUCAGUCUGAAUAGGCAUUUUUUGACUGAAACGUAGUUUUAAUUUUGAGAGCUAGCAAGACAACCACAACCUUCUCUGCAAGGAAGUUCUCUGAAGAAGUCUUUGUUGUUCUUCCCAAAUUACUUUCCUAGAGACAGAGCGUCGGCAUGCAGUGCUAUGGGGGGCCAGAGUGUGCUUCUGCCAUCCACAGGCACAGGAGAGAGAAAAACAGCUACUGGGCUGUACCCCAGAUGUGAAGGGACUAGCCAUGGUGUUGGGGACCAAAAUCUGUGCCCUGUGGGGAGCAGUAAAGUGGAGAGACCCCCAGCCCCAACCUGCAAGAGCUGGGUGCUGGAGGUGUGUGGUGAGCCAUGAAAUCAUUUGAGUUGGAAGGGGCCUUUAAAAGUCAUCUAUCCCAACUCCCCUGCAAUGAACAGAGACACCUACAGCUAGAUUAGGGUGCUUGGAGCCUCAUCCAGCCUCUGUGUGAUGAGCUGGCAUGGGACAAAGCAGCACGGCUGCUGAAAUAGGGGUGCUGCUGUUUCAGAGGCUGGGGGUUCAUAUCCCCAACAGGUUAGGUAAUGUGCAAGGCAUCCAAUAUUAAAUUUCCGUCUGAAAUCAUACAAUGUUUUGAUGAAGCGCUGCAGAGACAUCUGUUUUGAAAUCUAGUUUCCCAUCUUACUGUUGCUGACCUGUUUAAAAUAAUAAAAACAGAAAGCUUUCCAAGAUGGAUGACACUGGGGCCAGGGAUAAAAACCUCACUUGUGUUUCUAAAGGCUCUUUCCAUGCUUACAAACCUGGUUCUUGCAUUCAUCAAACACAGAGGACUCUUUUUUUUUUCAUGCUGUCAGCCAGGAAACUUCAGAAAGGAAGAUGCCCAGGCCACCAAUGCCGCUGGUCUUUUUCAUUGCUUUACAAUAUGGUUCUGAAAGCUGCAGGGUUUCAGGUAAACAAAUAUUCCGGAACUAUAAAAUAUGAAUGAAUUCAAAUUAUACAUCCAUGCUAUUUAAAGAAAGAUUUUCUUUCAGGCAUGUGGCUAUUUGGGAAAAAUAAUUGUUUUGUUCAUCGAUCUGUAAUUUGUCUGUUGGGCUUUUCCUAGAACAUUCAGCCUGGCAAAGAAGCAGAAAACAAUUUUAUGGCUGGGAAGAUGGCACAGAGGUUGACUUGUUGGAAGCUCUGGGCAGCCUCAAGGACUCACAGAAAGUCAUAUUUAAUAGCUAAACUGCUGGAAAAAUAAAUUUUCUUUGCUGAUUCAUUACACUAACUCCACAGUUAAGAUUACAAGAAGAACAGACCAUUUAUUUUGGGCCAAAUUUUCAAACCUUCUCAAAUCCACAAGUAUAGCUGAUUGACUGCAGAAUGUAUCCGUCAAAGCCUGGUUCACGAAUUUGAGGUUCUUUGGUAAAGUUGUAGGAAUAGCACUUCAAAACCUCAUGAUUUUCAGUCUCCUUAUGAGAUCUGCUUUCAGCAGAUAAAGAGAAAAGAAACAUUGAGAAGUGUCUGCUAGUCACAUCACUGCACUGCUUCGUGUCGGAGGAGGGAAAGGCCAAAGCUUUAGAGCUGUGAUGCUGGAUGAUGUCACUGCAGGAGGUCUCUUAAAACAGAGUCAAGUCACCACACACCGGCCACACUGUAUUUCUGUGGAUGUCUAAACCUUUUUCUUCAGCAGGCAGAAGGAGCCAGCAAGCAGUUCAGUUUCUGCUUUGAUGAUUUUAUUUCCUAUGUGCACAAGUAUGUGGUGUAAACUGUUCAGGAGAUGCUAAUGGUGACAACAGUAGCUUAGUUAUUGAAGACAAAGUGUUUGCUAGAAAAGUAAGUUUUUGGGGCUUAUUUCCAAGAGGUGAUGCUAUACUGGACAGCCACUUUAACCUGAAAGAACAGGCUAUUUCUGGAUAUAUAUACAUAUAUAUAAAAAACACAUUUACUCCCCUUGCCAUUAUACUUUAAAGGUUUUUGCUACAUAGCUUAUUCAUCAUUACAAAAAGGUGUAAUGGUGUAAUGUAUCUAGAUUUGAGGAAGGACAAAUGUGAACUCAAGCAAUUGAAAGCAGCCAACAGAAACUGUAUGUUCACAGACAUGUAAGCUUGAGGCCUUGAAUUUUUGCGAGUAAGGCAUCAUUCAUCAUUAUAGAAUAGCUGUGUUUCACACAGGUGAGAUGGAUGGAGCCAGGAGAAAUCAACAGCUCUAGCUAUGACAUGCUGUGCUGCAUUCAAAAAAGAAUGAAUGCAAUGUAGAGAAACAAGAGUCCAGAACUAUCCCAUGUAUGAGAAGUCUUCUGGUAAAAGACGACGUUGUUGUUUGUGCUAGGGAAUAAAUUGGGUACCCAUCUUCUCUCUUUGCUUCUGAGUCCUGCCAAAUAACUCUUAUAUGGUGUUGGGCAAGAGGAUUCGGUUUCUCUAGGUCUGUUUCUGUAACACAGAUAAUAAAGAAUGAUUUCGUUCUUUAGUCCUUUUCCUCUAUGUGAACAGCAAGCUGUUCAAGACUGGGCUGUCUUCACUGGGUGUGCAUGCAGCGCUUAGUGCGGAUGGCUCUCAGUCUCAAAUGUGGCCUCUAGGCACAAGGGUAUUACAAAAAUAAUUAACUGAGAAGGUGUAUUUAUUUAGUUAAUUGUAAUAACUUCAGACAGGAUAUUGUACCUAAUUUUAGCUAAGUGUAAGUCAGUUCACAUUCAUUAAUUGGCCUGCUCUUUCCCACCUCUUGCUUGUGACAAUAUUGGUUCACAAGCAGGAUGUCAACACGCACAUGGUGUUUUCUAUUGUGGGCUUUUUUUUUUUUCCCUGUGAAAUGAGCAGGUGAGGGUUCCUUACUGCCUGGAAGUUAACUGACUUAGAGCAUAUCUUAAAUAUAUGCAGUUCCUCCCAGCCUGUGAGGAUGCGGAAGGACUUAAUACAACUAAACAACUUUGGGAAGAACUCCUUAGUUGCUAAGAGGUGUGUUGAAUGCCUGCUGAAUCCCCUUAGCAGAGGCAUCCUCCUGUGCCUCACUGUCACGAUGUCUUCAUCUUACUCUCACAGAAACACAUUUUAUUUUCCUGGAGAAAAUCAUAUGAAAAUACAAAGCAAUGAUUCAGCAACCAAUGAAGCCAGGCAGAAUUUUUUAUUUGACCAUGAAACAUAUAAGGACCCUUUCUGGGUCUUCUGGGCACUUUCUCUCAAUUCCUGAGCAUCCUCAGCCUAAGUUGUAUUUUCACAUCUUAAGAUGCAUUUAGCACCUCACAGUUUUCACUUCUGUGACAUAUGGAUGUAUGUUUUGUUUAGUUCAGAAUGAUUGCUAGAAUGCUUGAUUGUUAUUUGGUGCUAAAUAUUAGCAUAGCUUUCCAGAAAGCUGUCUGGUAUGCUGGAAGUCUAAGGGAACUCAUCUUUAGAGAGUACGUUAUCGUAAUGCUUAACUGAAGAUCAAUCACGUGGUUCCUGGUAGCAUCCCAGAUUCUGGUUAAAUUCCUUUUUCUUUUUAAAGAAGAAUUCAAUGAAUUUUCCUCUCCAAGUGCUCAGCAACCUAAACGUUACAUAGAGACAUCAGAAGUCUUUUAAUGCAGGUUUUCAGAGUAAAUGAAACCUUUUUUCAGUGUGGUUGCCUUUGUAAUAACAGUCUUCUUAUUUGUUGGAUACUUAUGUAACGUAAGAUGAAAAGACAUUUUAUAGCCUUCUGGCAAGAGGACUUAAAAUUAACAGCAUACCUGUGGCUGCCCUAAGCCAGGGAGGGAGUCAUUUUCAGGCCAUGGGAAAACUGCAGUUUUGCAUCCUUCACUUCUUCUGACCUACUGCUAUUCAGUAUUUCCAUAGGCUUGUUUUUCAUGAAAGCAUCAUCGCGCACACAAAGAAAAACUAAGUAAUGGAUCCUGAUGAAAGAACAGAGGCCGAGGUGGUAUGGGAUAGCUGUCACCCAUUAACAUCUCCCCCAAGAAUGUGGUGGUUUAACUUAUUCUCUCAUUUUAUAUUUUCAUGCCUGGCUGAGCCCUGGUGUCGCACACGGCCGGCUGGCUCUGUGCAGGAGCCACCAGGCCAAUUUGCUCUGGCAACAACUAACCCAAGGCCACGCGGUGCCCGCUGCAGCCUGAAUCGAGGCCUGCUCUGUGGCCAUGUCCUGCAGCAGUCCCAGGCAGGCGGCCUCCGCCAACCCUAGGCAGGGUGUUUUGUUUUGCACAACAGUUGAUGGCUUUCACGUUUCCUCCCUGUCGAUACGCAAAAAGGAAAACCACAAAACGAUAGCGAUCUGAGUUUGGUCUCACCUGUACGGGGCUGGCAGCCGUGCCAUCCCAUUGAGUUUGGCUCUGCUGCCCCACCACUCUUUGGGCUGGGCCUUCAAGCAGAUGUGAACUUGAUCAGCAUCAAGCCCGAUCUUUUUCAUGCCCGUUCUUGCUGUGAAUAUUUGUUUUCCCUUACACGUUUCUACCUGGAACCUGACUACCUCCUUGCAAAGUUUUGUUAUUUAAAAGUAAUCUGACAAUUGUUUUCAAAAAGAUAAUUACUCUCCAUCAGAAGUGUAGAAUGCUGCUAAUCCCCAGAGAAGCUCACCCAGCGUUUCCUCCUCACCAUGUAAGCAUAUCACCUUGGCUGUGUCUCAGGGCUUCCCAGAGCUCAUGUGGCAGUUCAUGGGCCCUCUGUGCUGUGGCUCUUCUCACCCCUGCCUGCGCUGGGGAGGGAUGUGCAGCAGCAGCAGCACGAGGACGGGGCAGCUUAUGUGGGAGACGUGUCAGGCCCUCAGCCACAAUCCUGCCUGGAAGAACAACUCUGCCCUCCUAAAAGCCCUACCAGACCUGCCAUGGCCCCAGCUGGCCGAGCCCCCAGCUGCACAGUUCAAGGAAGUAUGCAGCUAAUUGGUGUAUUGCCUCUGCUGGGGCUCAGGCAGGCUAAUGCUAGCACUCCCACGCCAGGCAAACUAGCGCUCCUUUGCUUCUUCAGCAUUCAGACUGUCAGAGCCUUUUCUCUCAGCAGUAACAAUUACCAACAACACUGGAGAUGGCGGUGGCAUUAGAUCUGAGAAUGACUCAUCACUGAACCAGCCCUGUCAAGCAAGAUAAAUACAAUUUAGUUGUUAGCUAAUCUAUUUUUGUUUGUGUUCUCAAUUCACCCAGGACAAUGAUUACAUUGCUGUCUAUCAUGCUAGCAUUAAGGAUAUUUUGCUACAACGUGCUUAGCUUUGUAAAGCGAACGUUUAUGAAUACAAUAGCCGUAUUUGUCUGUCAAUAUUACUUCACUGCUGACAUACCGCACGUCAGGUUUCUAUGGCAUGACAGAGACCCGCGCAGUAAACUAUUCUGGAUCUGGGGGAGUUAAGUUGUGGAAAGGCGCCAUUUAGUUUACCAGCAUUUCGGUACCGAGAAAUUUCACCUCAGAUAUACUUCUGCUAUCUGUCAUCUGCCAGUUUGUCUUUCCUUCAUCUCUACAACUGAAACCCGUGGUUUAAUACCGCGUUGAAUCAGCCUUGGACUUUGUCACAGUCUGACCCCAGAAGAAAAGCUGACGGGCUGCUCUGAGUGGGCUUGUAGGAUGCUUUGGCACUUCCAUGCUGAGCUUCAUCAGUGCCCAGAUCAGCUCUCAAGGUGCUCAGUGCCUCCCAAACUCUCCUCCUGAAACAAUCCAGGCUUUGGUAUGGCUUUGCAUUCAAGUUAUUUAUUUUCAUUGUAUUUCCUCUCCCUUUGUUUUUGUUUUUGUUCAGCACUUACUUAGCCCUUGGGAAAGCUAUUUAUGGAAAUUUCAGAUUUUCAUGAUAAAGAAAGUGUUUUGCAAUUAGAACUGGAGGAAACCAUUGAUCUCGAUAACAGGGUGAGAAACUUUCUCACUUGCAAGGUUGGCGAAUCCCAUUAGCAAUCGCCAAACUCUGCCAAACAGCAAACAAGCAAAGAUGCACGGCGAGGAGGAGGUGAAAAGUGUAAUAAAAAAUGCUGGUUUUCUCUGUUUGACUUUCUUGCCAAGCUGGCGCACCGGAGAAGACAUUUGCCAGCUGUCAUAUCUGAAGAAAGACUCAACUGAAAGAUCUCGCUACGCUCAGUUCACGAGCAAGACUUUUUUUUUUUUCUCAGAAUCAGCCAGAUAACUGAUUAUUCUGUGCUCAGCGAGAAACCUUGUGGCUUUGCAACGUUUCACCCGGCGCGCUGCAACAACCAACAUCUCUGCUGCUGAAAGCUCUCAAACAAAAAUAUUCGGAAUAAACUUCCAAUACUUUGGAACCCUGCCAGUCGUGGGCAUCUUUCAGGAGAGGCAGCAGAUACAGGCUUACUGUCCGUUAUUAUGUUUGUCGUCUGCUGUGGUCCUUGAGGUUGCUUCUUGUAUUUCCAGCGGCCGUAAGACGUUCUUGCAGAGCUUACUGGUUAAUCGCGAUACGUUAAACAAGCUGCGAAGUGCUGUGGGAAACCAUUGCAAAGAUACUUAACAGACUGAUACACUACGCUAUGUCUGUAACCUCUUUCCAUCUGAUAGUGCCGUCGUUUUGAAUGGGCUGUGUGGGAGGCAGCCUGUUGCCCCGACCUGAGCUCAUGCCACAUUUCUCAGGCAGAUGCUUCCGUCUCCCCGACGUAACAUGCAGGCUAGACAAGGCUCACGGGAGGGAAACGUGUGAAGUAAUUCCCAUUCCCCCCUCUUCCAAGUAUGUAACACCGUUGUACUGCUUGUCAGAUAUGUUUUGAGACAAUAGUUUUAUUUUUCUCGUCUAUAACAUCAGGUAUUGUUAUCACUAUCAUUACUAUUAUUACGUAUUAUUGAAACCAGUCUGAAACUGCAUACCCAUAUGCAAUUGCAUCUGAAACACUUAACUGAGAUGAGAUGAGAUAACCACGGUGCGCGAGGCUCAGCCAGCUGGAGCAAGGGGGCAGAGGACUUCCAAAGAGGAGCUGGGAUGGCGCAUGCAAAAGGCUCGUUAAAUGCGUCAGCUUCCCUCGCUGGAAGAGCAGGAAAGAUCCAGCCUGAGGCCAGGACCCGGCUUUCUGGGUGAGAAGAAGCACGGGAGCACCAAUGCCUGUGUCUGAGUGGCAUUUCCAGCCGAGUUCCUGGGCUGCGUGGCUGAAAUCUGGCAGAGACCACGUACUAAACUUGACCCCAAAGUGGUGUAACAGACCUGUGGCCUCAUCCUUACCCAACUCCAACGCCUGUCUGCACUUGAACUAAAUGUUAAAAAGUGGUAUUUCCUGAGAGCACUGUGAGGAGCCUUAAGGGCUGGCUACCGGGCAUGCAGUGAGAGCCAACAGCUGGCCUGGCCACUCUGCUCCUUAUCUCCAGACUGAUAGCAUCAAAGGUCUCAGCCUGUUCUGGCUGGGGGCUGGCUCUUGCCAGGCAGUGAAUGGCUUAUGAAGGUGCUUCAGCUUAGAUUUCAGGUGGGUUUCAGCACUGAUGCACUCACUGCAGUAGCAUCCCCAUUACUGAGGACUGGAUCCAAUGUAGGAUUUGGAUAUGUGAAGAACAAAUGCCUCAGGAGGAAAGUGGCCAUAAACCACUUGUGACAGCUGCCCAGCCUGCAUCAGCAGCUUUCUGUGGAAGUUCCCACAAGUGUCUGUAUGAGAGCUCCAGGGAAAACUAUGGAACAGGUCCAGGGAAAAGGAAGGUAACUUUCUUAUAUAAAUGAAAUCAACACAUUUUCACCCACAUUUUUGCUUUUCAUUAAAAUGGAUCCAGCUGUGGAAGCACUAGCAAGGAAGAAUGUGACCUCAGGUCCCUGUUAGAGGGGUGGGAACAAUUGUAGUAAGGGGAAAUCAAUGCAAGAUCUUUUAUGGCCAAUACAGGCUAUAAAUUACAGACCUAGGCAGAUAAAGCAUUUAGAAGUCACACUUGCAGAGCCACGGUGAAGAGAUAACAAAGGAAAACUACACCAAAGUCCCAGUUCUUCAGCACUUAUGAUCUUAAUUAAAGGGUAAUGUAAUCAAUCUGGUGAUUAAUCAUAAACUUUUUAUUGAGGGAGAGUAGUAGGCAUUCCUACCAAAGGCACCAGCGCCCAUUUUGCUAUCAGUCUGUCUAACUCCAUUGCACUGAAUCCUUCCUGCUCUGAAAUAUCUUCAUGGACACCUGUGGACUUAUGUCAAGAUAAGAUCAGCCCAUGGAGAAAAACACAAGAUACUCUACCACCUACCUGGAGUCAAAUAAAUGGAUUCAAAUCCACAUUCCUGCAGGGAGGUGAGAAAUCUGAAUGGCUUGGGUAAUGCACAGCACUGUAUGCAUAAACUACACGUUCCUUAAGGACAUUAAACUUGCAGUCCCUCAGGGGAGGGCAUGAACCAUCACUGCUCCCUGCAGUACACAUGGUGGCAUGAGGGACACCAACAAGGGACACCGCCGCCCAUCCUGCUGCACAGCACCGCCACCGAAGGCAAUGGAGGGUCUGGAAAAGACGGAGCGAUUGCCUGCCACAGCCAGCAAGGACGAAGUGGCCAAGAGUUUGUGCAUUCAGAUCCCUGUGGGAGGAUGGGAACAACCCCUCCAAUCCCUCCUCCACGAUCCUGGCUUUACUGCAAGAACCCAGCCACAAAGCUAAGCCGGUCUGUUUACCAACGUAACAGUCAGAGCAAGAGCUUACAUCAUAUUGGAGCAAACAAAGCCUGGGGGGAAAAUACCUCUAACUUAAGGUAUAUUCUGAUGUAAGAGUAAGAGCUAGCAGCAUUUCAGGGUCCUUUUGUAAUAAUAACUCCCACGCUGGAGCCUUAAGCAUUAAUGGUCUGUGAAAGCUAUUAUUUGAUGUUUUUAGCAUUGAAUUUCAUUCUGACAGGACUUCAUGAUACGUAUUACAGAAAAAAUACUGUUAACCUAAUCAUAUUAAUACCAAAUCUUUGUACUGUAAUAGCCUCAAACAUUUAGAGCAAGGCACAAACCUGACUUUUCAUAAAUACAGAAAGACAGAAGUUUUAAUGAUGUUAUUUUCCUACUGCUUCCCCGACUGCAUCUGUUAGAGUCACUAAGACCAAGGACCAUCAUUCCUCUCUUUUACAGACAGAAGAGUGGAAAAGAUGCUUGGCUUUCCAGGGCCGAACCCUGCACUUCUUAUUCCCAGGGACAGCCUCUUCAGGCAUUAUCAAUUUGUCUUUGUCUUUCCCUUUUUAAGACAUGCCUGGCAUAAGUUGCGUCUGAAAUAUAAUUCCUGAUUUCUGCUGCUGCUGACAGUUUAAAUUAUUAAGAGGAAUUUUAAAGUUCUUUUUAGGUCUCUCACUUUUACAUGACAGUUUUCCUUCCCGCAUUUCAGUUGGUUUUGGUAGUCUUGUCGGAGUCAAUUUUUCUUUCUCUUUAUUAAAACAAACUCUAUGCUGUCUGCCUUUGAUGAGCUUCUAAAUGCAAAGGAAAGAAAAAAAUAUACAGGUAGUAAAUACUCUGAAACAUUCACCUAUGCAUAUAGUUCAGACAAAGUGAAUCUGCAUCCUCAUGUUGUCAAGAAGGGCCCUUUAAGCUUGAAACGAGAGCAGAUUCUUUCAAACUUUCCCAGAGAAUAGCAGUGACCUUGCAGAUCAGAUAACCCAUGGUCUACAAGAGUUCAAAUAUGUCAUCAGGACUUUAUUUUACUGUUCAGUGUUCCUCAGCCUAGUUGUUCAAGUCAGGCUAAUUCCAACCUCUACCCCCCAAAAAAAAGCCCUACAGGAGUGCACAAUGCCAGCAGAGCAGAGCUGGGUAUGAGCAAGGAUAAAUGAGGCCGUCUGUCAAAAGCUGGACUGUCAUUGAGAGGCUGCGAUCCAAUGGGCACAACAUAUUAAACCUAAGGAAAAUACUUGUUCCCCUUACUUCAUUCUCUAGCAGGCUGCAGCUCAUGAAAUCCAUCAUGGACUUCACGUUAGUACAGAAAUUCGCUCCAGCACUUCUCCACUGACUCUCGGUAUUAACUGAGACUUCUCCUGUUUUUAUAAGACAAAUACUUCUUCAUGUUGCUGGGGAAGCAACAGUGUUGCUUCCAAUUUGUUGUUGUACCAAUAGCAUUUGUCUCACUGCAGCGUGAGCCACUGCAGGGAAGAAAACCAGGAGAGGACCAAUCACUUCCAGCAACACUAACUCUACAUUAGUUUAGCCUCAACUUCAAGCUGUACCCUAAGGCUCCAGCUCAGCAACAGGUAUCUUACUUUUGAGCUCAUGAGUAGUUCUGGUGCACUCAUGUGUUUUGACUUAAGCAUGUGCUUCAACCUCUUAUUGAAUGGGCUUCUAAAUCAUUUGAAAUCCAGCCCCAUUUCCAUCACUGAAAACCAUUGUAUUACAUCACUGGGUUGCUCCAGAAGUAGGGAAAAAAUAUUCUUGGUAUUUCUCGAGACAGUUUUACCGUUGUUAUGCUGCUGUUUUGCUGGGAUUCAGCUUCAGUAAACAGUUCCAGCCCCAGUCUGAAUUCAAAGCCAGAACUGGGGUUUGAUGAAACGCUUGGGUGCUGGACUGAACGUGCUCCAACUAUACAGGGAUUUUGGAGAGGAGAGAUAAGGUGAGGGCUUUCAAGCAAAAAUGUAGCCGUUCCCCUUUUCCAGAUCCUCCCCUUCCCAGCGCAGUAUUCUGGGAAACUGCCUGCCCGUUUCAAGACCUGCUGCAAUGAGCCCUGGUGUCAUGGUACAAGGCAGGGAAUUUCAGGUUGGAACUAAGUAUCUUUUUGGGUUUGUUUAUUUCCCUUAAAUUGCCUGAAGUCUUGCUUUCCAAUGUCCCACCACUUUCCAGAGACAAUCUGUCAGAGGAUCCCAACCUCCCUCCAUCCAUCCAUGUGUCUCCGUAGCCCAAUGUGACCAUCGCUAGGGGAUUCCAGGGUUGCACCCUCUCUGUUUUUAGCAGCGUGCCAACUAUUCCCCGUUAUCAUCAUGUGGAUGGAGGCAAGACGUGCUGGCAGAGCCUUACCCUUUCUUGAGAGCCUGGGGACCCUGCAGCACGGGGAACAGCAGGCUCCAGGUCCUUCCUAGGCCAAGACAAUGCUAGUACCAUGGAGAACCUUAUUCUUCGGAAACAAAGCAUCUCUGAUUCAGCUGUUACUCAAAACAGAAAUUCAUGUUUUAGUAGGGCUUUCUGCUUUAACCCAUCUGAAAUGUAAUACCCGUUAACACAGAUGUUAGCACACCUUUGCCUUUUCUUUCUCCCCCAAGAAGAAGAGCCCGCAGUUUAAGGUUGUAAGUCUGAGCAAUUCAGUAAAUGAUGCAAAUACAAAUGAAAAUUAGCCAACAAAAGAAAUUCAAUUGAGUUUAAUAGGAGGCUAUUAUCAUACCUCGCAUUCUCUGCUGCCCUAGCACAGGUAGGAACCAACCACAGGGGACGGAACAGCUCUGUCUGCUCACAUAGCGCAUACAUACAAGGCAAACAGCAGCAGAAAACCCGGUUUAUUUGACUGUAGUCAUUAGCGCUACGCAUUACAGGGUCAGUGCCGCUUCGCAGAGCGCUCCGCGUGUCCCCCCGCUCCCCAAGGAGCAGCACCGCACGGGGCCCGACAGAUGUGAGCCCACCGCGGUGGGGUCUCUCCGGCCCUCGUGUCGCUCCGCCAUCCCCGUUCGGCAGCCGAGCUUCCCGAAUCGGGCCUACUGGCGUCAGCGGGGGGGGGGUGGGGGGGACUGGGCUGGGCCGCGCCGGCCGGCCGCUGGGUGCCGGCAGGCC
rnacentral:lncRNA from 1 species